rnacentral:lncRNA from 1 species
CUCGCCCUGCCCCCUACUGGCGGCGACACAUUUUUUUAUCCACUGACACCCUCCCGACCUCCAUCACCUCCCUCGUCGUCGCCCCAUCCAGAACCGAGGUUCUGGCCGCCGCGUUCUCCCUCUUGUGCUUCGACCCGCUGGUGGCGAUUAGUGCUCGCCUCAACCGCCUUGUCCAACCCCUCUAAUUCCCCCUCCGCAAGCCAUUGCCUCGUAGAUUUCUUCGCGCUGCCACUGUCGCCUCCGGAAUUUCCACCCGCCAUUGUUGCCGUGAGAGGGACCUCGCCGGGAUCGGUGUGCCGCUCGAAUUGAGUAGGUCGAGGAGCUCCUCUACGCCUCGACGAGCGUGUCCGCGACACCAACACUAGGAUUGGAGCCCCUGUCGACAAAGAAUUGCUCGAUGGAAUUCCGCUACCGCCGUGGACCACGCGUCACCGUGGACGAGUGUUCCUGCUGCGCUACUACCGGUAAUAUGCUCCUCAUGUUGUUCGUCGUUAAACACAGUACCUGUAGAACGGUUCACGUGGGGGUCAGAGGGGGAUGGGUUGCCGAAUUGCGCUCUCCGGCGUGCGGCCGCCCACGUGGGCGGCUCGCCACCACUGUUGACCCCCGGUUUGAGGGAGACACGCGGAUACCGUCCACUUACAAAGCGAGGGUUAGGAUUAGAUCUCGCAGGGCCUAGCUGUAAACCGUUGACGAGUUGAUGGACGAACCAGAUCUGAAAUCGUUCACCUCAUCGCGUUGGUGUAAUUCGAUGCGUUGAUCGGCUAUCGGACGACACGAAUUAGGUCUGGCGACCUCGUACGCCUCAUUGCGUCCUCACUGUUGGAUCGGGAUCCGGUGGCUGGUUGGUAUUAAUGGUUAAGAGUAGUGGGGGAUCUAAUAUGCUCCUUUGAAUUUAGAUCGUGCAGCUCAUGCUGGCCGUACCCGUUCGUGCUCGCCAUUUUGUAAAAGAGCCCUCGGGGUUCGGGGAAAUCAUCCCGUAGUCUUGGCAGUGGGAUUCUGAGUCUUAGAACAUUUUGCGCAGUGAACCCUGAACUUCCUAAUUAUAGCAAUGCAGUCCGGUCAGAGAAUAAACUAUGGAAAUUUGUUUAGAAAAUGACUAUUAGUGCAAAAUUAGUUCUAGAAACUUAUUUAAUUCCUAGAAUAUGCAUAUUAAGUCCAAAUCGAUCCAUUCUAGUUUCUAUAAUUUUCUAAUAUUAUUUUUUAUCACCUAGUACCACUGUUUUCACAUGAAAGUCACAUUAAAAUUUAUAUCUUAUUUAAUCUUGUACAAAACACAUAAAAUCAUUGGAAAUUCAUAACUUGAAAUCUAUGAUUCCGAUUUGAUCCAUUCAAGUUGCGCUAGUCUCGUACAAGUAUUUACUAUGCAGUAACAACAUUUAUUAUACCAUGUCUCAUUCUUUUAUAACUAGACUUUUAUUUAACUUAUGUUGGUUAGUCUGGUUAAACUGCUUAUCAUUAUAAUAUACUAGAAUAUGAUCUAUGGUCAAUUCAUAACUUAGAUUAAAGUUGAGGUAAUUAUUUAUAGAAUAAUCUCUCAUAUAAUUUAUAUUAACCAAUUUAUAAUAUAGUUUAAUAUUUUAAUCACACAGAUCUUCUAUAAGAUCAUAACUCUUUAAUUGUAACUCCGGUCUUAGUAGUUCUCGAUCCCACGAUCUUGUAGCGACGCGUGGAUCGUUAUUAUGCAGUAUGUUCUUAUGCUUGAUGUGAUGUUAAUUUUGUCUAUAUCCUGUUUGUUUGUAUUGCUACGACUAGCGUGAGGUCACGAGGAUCUAAAGAAUCACCCUGGUAACUAGAAUCUCAAGUGCCAGGCAAGUUGUGCCCUUGAUCACUUUUAUUACCCAAUAAUAUUCUUUAUUAUCAUUAUUCAAUGCAUAGGUUUAAUUUGAUGGGACCCAAUAGGUCACCCUAGUCUGUUUAUCCUAUUUACCUUGUUUACCCCUGAUUCACUUGGGUAGUUAUGCUAUUGCAUUAUUUGGUUUGGGAUUAAUAUUUCAUUAUAUCCAUGUUCCAAUUGUUUUGUUAUUCUAUUUAUGAUCAUGUCAAGAUCAUUAAUGUUAAUUAGAACAUGGAGCUUAACUUGAGAAACACGUGCCACCACAAGGGUGGAAUGGGACACUCUUGGCUAACUAAUUAGGAAAGCUAGUGGAAGACUACCUUACCCGAAAGGGGCAAGGGCAGUAGGGGAGUUGCAUGCAAGGAGGUUCUCGGGUUGAUUUUGCUGCGAUGGCGGUCAGACGAGGGAUUUUUGCAAGUGCUCUUCCCAUAAACUGUAGCGGGUUUUCGGAAGCUAGUGGAACUUUGUAAAGGCCUCGUAGUGGAUCCCUUGCCAUUCACCUCGGUAGUGUCUAAGGGUCUAGCUAACUCUGGCGACACUGGAUACACGACUUGUGGGUAUAGGGUACAACCUCUGCAGAGUGUAAAACUGGUAUAAUAACCGAGCUCACAGUCAUGAGCAGCUCAGGACUCUUGCAUGAUUAAUUUAUGGAACUUAAAUUCAAUUUAUCAUUUGCAUGUGCAUAGGAUUAUUUAUUAAUUUUGUUCUAUUAUUUUUAUUAUGGUUUGGUAUUCACUUAUAUUUAGUAAUUGCUAAUAAAAAUUUGACCAACUUAUUAAAAGCAAUGCUCAGCUUUAACCUCUAUUAUUGAUCAGCCUUACACAUCACAUGAACUCUCACCUUUAGUGAGUUCAUGCCACAUUAUUCCCCACAUCUUGUUGAGCGAUGAACAUGUGUGAGAUCACCCUUGCUGUCUCACACCCCCUACAGGAGAAGAACAGGUGGUUCAAGAGGAGCCACGUAGCGAG